ACGCUGGCGGUGCGCCUUAUGCAUGCAAGUCGAGCGAAGCUUUUCAGUAGUUUACUACAGAAAAUGACUGAGCGGCGAACGGGUGAGUAACGCGUGAGCAACCUACCUUAGUUACUGGGAUAGCCCGAGGAAACUCGGAUUAAUACCGGAUAUUCUUAUUUAAUCACAUGAUUUUUUAAGGAAAGGUCAGCCGAACUAAGAUGGGCUCGCGUUCUAUCAGCUAGUUGGUAGGGUAACGGCCUACCAAGGCUACGACGGAUAGCUGGUCUGAGAGGACGAUCAGCCACACUGGGACUGAGACACGGCCCAGACUCCUACGGGAGGCUGCAGCAGGGAAUAUUGUGCAAUGAACGAAAGUUUGACACAGCGACACCGCGUGUGGGAUGACGGAUCUAGGUUUGUAAACCACUUUCAGGAGGGAAGAAAAUGACGGUACCUCCACAAGAAGCCCCGGCCAACUACGUGCCAGCAGCCGCGGUAAUACGUAGGGGGCGAGCGUUGUCCGGAUUUAUUGGGCGUAAAGAGCUCGUAGGCGGUUCAACAAGUCGGUCGUGAAAGUUCAGGGCUCAACCCUGAAAUGUCGAUCGAUACUGUUGUGACUAGGAUACGGCAGAGGUGAGUGGAAUUCCGAGUGUAGCGGUGAAAUGCGUAGAUAUUCGGAGGAACACCAAUUGCGAAGGCAGCUCACUGGGCCGCUAUCGACGCUGAGGAGCGAA
rnacentral:rRNA from 1 species